AACGACUCUCGGCAACGGAUAUCUCGGCUCUCGCAUCGAUGAAGAACGUAGCAAAAUGCGAUACUUGGUGUGAAUUGCAGAAUCCCGUGAACCAUCGAGUUUUUGAACGCAAGUUGCGCCCCAAGCCGUCAGGCCGAGGGCACGCCUGCCUG
rnacentral:rRNA from 1 species